UUAAGUUAUUAAGGGCGCACGGUGGAUGCCUUGGCACUAGAAGCCGAUGAAGGACGUUACUAACGACGAUAUGCUUUGGGGAGCUGUAAGUAAGCUUUGAUCCAGAGAUUUCCGAAUGGGGAAACCCAGCAUGAGUUAUGUCAUGUUAUCGAUAUGUGAAUACAUAGCAUAUCAGAAGGCACACCCGGAGAACUGAAACAUCUUAGUACCCGGAGGAAGAGAAAGAAAAUUCGAUUCCCUUAGUAGCGGCGAGCGAAAUGGGAAGAGCCCAAACCAACAAGCUUGCUUGUUGGGGUUGUAGGACACUCUAUACGGAGUUACAAAGGACGACAUUAGACGAAUCAUCUGGAAAGAUGAAUCAAAGAAGGUAAUAAUCCUGUAGUCGAAAAUGUUGUCUCUCUUGAGUGGAUCCUGAGUACGACGGAGCACGUGAAGUUCCGUCGGAAUCUGGGAGGACCAUCUCCUAAGGCUAAAUACUCUCUAGUGACCGAUAGUGAACCAGUACCGUGAGGGAAAGGUGAAAAGCACCCCGGAAGGGGAGUGAAAUAGAACCUGAAACCGUGUGCUUACAAGUAGUCAGAGCCCGUUAAUGGGUGAUGGCGUGCCUUUUGUAGAAUGAACCGGCGAGUUACGAUUUGAUGCAAGGUUAAGCAGUAAAUGUGGAGCCGUAGCGAAAGCGAGUCUGAAUAGGGCGUUUAGUAUUUGGUCGUAGACCCGAAACCAGGUGAUCUACCCUUGGUCAGGUUGAAGUUCAGGUAACACUGAAUGGAGGACCGAACCGACUUACGUUGAAAAGUGAGCGGAUGAACUGAGGGUAGCGGAGAAAUUCCAAUCGAACCUGGAGAUAGCUGGUUCUCUCCGAAAUAGCUUUAGGGCUAGCCUCAAGUGAUGAUUAUUGGAGGUAGAGCACUGUUUGGACGAGGGGCCCCUCUCGGGUUACCGAAUUCAGACAAACUCCGAAUGCCAAUUAAUUUAACUUGGGAGUCAGAACAUGGGUGAUAAGGUCCGUGUUCGAAAGGGAAACAGCCCAGACCACCAGCUAAGGUCCCAAAAUAUAUGUUAAGUGGAAAAGGAUGUGGCGUUGCCCAGACAACUAGGAUGUUGGCUUAGAAGCAGCCAUCAUUUAAAGAGUGCGUAAUAGCUCACUAGUCGAGUGACACUGCGCCGAAAAUGUACCGGGGCUGAACAUAUUACCGAAGCUGUGGAUUGUCCUUUGGACAAUGGUAGGAGAGCGUUCUAAGGGCGUUAGAAGCAUGAUCGUAAGGACAUGUGGAGCGCUUAGAAGUGAGAAUGCCGGUGUGAGUAGCGAAAGACGGGUGAGAAUCCCGUCCACCGAUUGACUAAGGUUUCCAGAGGAAGGCUCGUCCGCUCUGGGUUAGUCGGGUCCUAAGCUGAGGCCGACAGGCGUAGGCGAUGGAUAACAGGUUGAUAUUCCUGUACCACCUAUAAUCGUUUUAAUCGAUGGGGGGACGCAGUAGGAUAGGCGAAGCGUGCGAUUGGAUUGCACGUCUAAGCAGUAAGGCUGAGUAUUAGGCAAAUCCGGUACUCGUUAAGGCUGAGCUGUGAUGGGGAGAAGACAUUGUGUCUUCGAGUCGUUGAUUUCACACUGCCGAGAAAAGCCUCUAGAUAGAAAAUAGGUGCCCGUACCGCAAACCGACACAGGUAGUCAAGAUGAGAAUUCUAAGGUGAGCGAGCGAACUCUCGUUAAGGAACUCGGCAAAAUGACCCCGUAACUUCGGGAGAAGGGGUGCUCUUUAGGGUUAACGCCCAGAAGAGCCGCAGUGAAUAGGCCCAAGCGACUGUUUAUCAAAAACACAGGUCUCUGCUAAACCGUAAGGUGAUGUAUAGGGGCUGACGCCUGCCCGGUGCUGGAAGGUUAAGAGGAGUGGUUAGCUUCUGCGAAGCUACGAAUCGAAGCCCCAGUAAACGGCGGCCGUAACUAUAACGGUCCUAAGGUAGCGAAAUUCCUUGUCGGGUAAGUUCCGACCCGCACGAAAGGCGUAACGAUUUGGGCACUGUCUCAACGAGAGACUCGGUGAAAUCAUAGUACCUGUGAAGAUGCAGGUUACCCGCGACAGGACGGAAAGACCCCGUGGAGCUUUACUGUAGCCUGAUAUUGAAAUUCGGCACAGCUUGUACAGGAUAGGUAGGAGCCUUUGAAACGUGAGCGCUAGCUUACGUGGAGGCGCUGGUGGGAUACUACCCUAGCUGUGUUGGCUUUCUAACCCGCACCACUUAUCGUGGUGGGAGACAGUGUCAGGCGGGCAGUUUGACUGGGGCGGUCGCCUCCUAAAAGGUAACGGAGGCGCUCAAAGGUUCCCUCAGAAUGGUUGGAAAUCAUUCAUAGAGUGUAAAGGCAUAAGGGAGCUUGACUGCGAGACCUACAAGUCGAGCAGGGUCGAAAGACGGACUUAGUGAUCCGGUGGUUCCGCAUGGAAGGGCCAUCGCUCAACGGAUAAAAGCUACCCCGGGGAUAACAGGCUUAUCUCCCCCAAGAGUUCACAUCGACGGGGAGGUUUGGCACCUCGAUGUCGGCUCAUCGCAUCCUGGGGCUGUAGUCGGUCCCAAGGGUUGGGCUGUUCGCCCAUUAAAGCGGUACGCGAGCUGGGUUCAGAACGUCGUGAGACAGUU
rnacentral:rRNA from 1 species